rnacentral:lncRNA from 1 species
AGCAUAAUUUUCAAACAAAUAUUCGGCAUGUAGUUAAUAUGCAUUUUCACAAUCAAUCAUUAAAUUGACUACCUUCUUGCAUGAUGCAUGCGUGAUGAAUGAGUGUUGAUUUUACUUUUGCAUGCUUGUGUGGGUUUGGUAGCCUUGCCGGCUAUGAUGUGAUUAUUGGACAGGUGAAACAUAGAACUGUUAAUAUAGUACAGGAUUUAAUUAGCGGAUACUUAUUGAUGCAAUGCUUGACAUUCUUUUGCACGCCACUCAUGUUUUCAUGUUAAGUUAUUGAAUGGGAUUGU